GAUGAACGCUGGCGGCGUGCCUAAUACAUGCAAGUCGAGCGAACGGACGAGAAGCUUGCUUCUCUGAUGUUAGCGGCGGACGGGUGAGUAACACGUGGAUAACCUACCUAUAAGACUGGGAUAACUUCGGGAAACCGGAGCUAAUACCGGAUGAUAUUUUGAACCGCAUGGUUCAAAAGUGAAAGACGGUCUUGCUGUCACUUAUAGAUGGAUCCGCGCUGCAUUAGCUAGUUGGUAAGGUAACGGCUUACCAAGGCAACGAUGCAUAGCGGACCUGAGAGGGGGAUCGGCCAAACUGGAACUGAGACACGGUCCAGACCCCUACGGGAGGCAGCAGUGGGGAAUCUUCCGCAAGGGGCGAAAGCCUGACGGAGCAACGCCGCGUGAGUGAUGAAGGUCUUCGGAUCGUAAAACUCUGUUAUUAGGGAAGAACAUAUGUGUAAGUAACUGUGCACAUCUUGACGGAACCUAAGCAGAAAGCCACGGCUAACUACGU
rnacentral:rRNA from 1 species